rnacentral:rRNA from 1 species
GAUGAACGCUGGCGGCGUGCUUAACACAUGCAACUCGAACGGAAAGGCUCCUGCUUGCAGGGGUACUCUAGUGGCGAACGGGUGAGUAACACGUGGGUGAUCUGCCCUGCACUUCGGGAUAAGCCUGGGAAACUGGGUCUAAUACCGGAUAGGACCACAUUUUGGAUGGUGUGGUGGAAAGUUUUUCGGUGUGGGAUGAGCUCGCGGCCUAUCAGCUUGUUGGUGGGGUAAUGGCCUACCAAGGCGUCGACGGGUAGCCGGCCUGAGAGGGUGUACGGCCACAUUGGGACUGAGAUACGGCCCAGACUCCUACGGGAGGCAGCAGUGGGGAAUAUUGCACAAUGGGCGCAAGCCUGAUGCAGCGACGCCGCGUGGGGGAUGACGGCCUUCGGGUUGUAAACUCCUUUCGCUAGGGACGAAGCGCAAGUGACGGUACCUGGAGAAGAAGCACCGGCUAACUACGUG